AAAAACAUGGCUUUUUGAUUUUAAUUUAAGGUCUAGCCUGCUCAAUGAGUAUUAAAUAGCCGCAGUAUUUUGACUGUGCAAAGGUAGCAUAAUCAUUAGUUUUUUAAUUGAAAGCUGGAAUGAAAGGUUGAAUGAGAAAAUAGCUGUCUCUAUAUAAAUUUUAUAGAAUUUUAUUUUUGAGUUAAAAAGCUUAAAUUUUAAUAAAAGACGAGAAGACCCUAUAGAGUUUUAUAUUUAUUUAUAAUAUGUAUUAUAUGUAUAUAUAUAUAUUUUUUAGUAUUUUAAAUUAUAUUAUUUUUAAGUAUUUGAUUGGGGUGAUUAGAAAAUUAAUAAAACUUUUCUUUAAGUAAAACAUUUAUUUAUGAUAUUAUGAUCUUUUUGUAGAGAUUAUAAGAUAAAAUUACCUUAGGGAUAACAGCGUAAUUUUUUUUGAGAGUUCUUAUCGAUAAAAAAGAUUGCGACCUCGAUGUUGGAUUAAAAUAAAUUUUUGGUGUAGAAGCUAAAUUGAUUAGGUCUGUUCGACCUUUAAAAUUUUACUUGAUCUGAGUU
rnacentral:rRNA from 1 species